GUCCUGCUCCUCCUGCCCUCAUCCGCAAAAGCAGAGGGGAGACCAGAUAACCCUGACGCGGCUUCUUCGGAUUCUAAUUCUCUGUACAUCUGUGGCCAGUUCUGCAAAAAGUAUGCUCUUUGCCUCUGCUCCCCCUCCUUCCUUUCAAUCUUCGUCUCCCUCUCCCCCUCCCUCCUCUCUUCCUUUUUCCAUGGGGCUUGCUAAAGGCUGGCGCUCCUUCCCAGCAACCAGUGCGGACUCAUUACCAGAAGCACCGCAGCUAAACAGAGGGAAAUGUUUAGAUCCAUAAAGGAAGCUAGUCUUGAACACACCCCUCCCUGGGCCUCCUCUCCAGUUCCUACAUCCUGCCCUUUAUCCAAUCCCCAGCCUUUCCCUUGGCUUUGAAUAAAUUAUGUGAAAG
rnacentral:lncRNA from 1 species